AGCUUAUUGAAAGUUUAUAAUAGGUGUAGCCUGCCCGGUGAAAAUUUUUAACGGCCGCAGUACCUUGACUGUGCAAAGGUAGCAUAAUCAUUUGGCCUAUAAUUGAGGUCUAGUAUGAAAGGUGGUACGGAUAAACUCUGUCUCUUGACAAAUAAUUUGAACUUACUUAGGAGGUGCAAAUUCCUUCACAAUUAAAAAAUAGACGAGAAGACCCUCAGAAUUUUAUGAAGAAUAAAAGUAGUUUUAUAAUCAUUUUGUUGGGGCAACAAAGUUAGCAAAGAGAUAAUCAACUUAUAUAUUUAAAUAACAGGACGAAAUUGAUAAGCGUGAAAAAAUUACCUUAGGGAUAACAGCAUAAUUUAUAAAAGAUUGUGACCUCGAUGUUGGAUUAGGGACUAAAAAGUUUACCCGAUUUUUUAGUUAGUUCUGUUCGAACUGUGAAACCUACGU
rnacentral:rRNA from 1 species